rnacentral:rRNA from 1 species
AGUGAACGCUGGCGGUAGGCCUAACACAUGCAAGUCGAACGGCAGCACAGUAAGAGCUUGCUCUUACGGGUGGCGAGUGGCGGACGGGUGAGGAAUACAUCGGAAUCUACUUUUUCGUGGGGGAUAACGUAGGGAAACUUACGCUAAUACCGCAUACGACCUGCGGGUGAAAGCAGGGGAUCUUCGGACCUUGCGCGAUUGAAUGAGCCGAUGUCGGAUUAGCUAGUUGGCGGGGUAAAGGCCCACCAAGGCGACGAUCCGUAGCUGGUCUGAGAGGAUGAUCAGCCACACUGGAACUGAGACACGGUCCAGACUCCUACGGGAGGCAGCAGUGGGGAAUAUUGGACAAUGGGCGCAAGCCUGAUCCAGCCAUACCGCGUGGGUGAAGAAGGCCUUCGGGUUGUAAAGCCCUUUUGUUGGGAAAGAAAAGCAGCAGGUUAAUACCCCGCUGUUCUGACGGUACCCAAAGAAUAAGCACCGGCUAACUCCGUG